CACUAAGACUCUCGGCAACGGAUAUCUCGGCUCUUACAUCGAUGAAGAACGUAGCGAAAUGCGAUACUUGGUGUGAAUUGCAGAAUCCCGUGAACCAUCGAGUCUUUGAACGCAAGUUGCGCCCGAGGCCUUCGGGUCGAGGGCACGCCUGCCUGGGCGUCACGC
rnacentral:rRNA from 1 species